AGUGUCAUGGGCCCACCGGGCCAAGAAAAAACCACCCUUGUGUUGUCAGUCUAAGUUCAUCUAAGACCAUGAGCUGACCAGCAGCCUAUUCAGGAACCAGGAGCCAUGAGGAGUGUAGAAUUGUUCUGGGGUUGGGGUGGUAGAUUGAGUCUAUGAAGAUCUGACUUCAGUUUCUUGUCCUCUGGUUUAAUUGCCUGAUAGUAUGUAUCUAUCUCAAGUGGUGCUGUAAGAAAUGCAUUAAAUGCAUAAACACUUUGACGUUGAAAGAAUGGGGAAGAGACAAGUAGGUACUGAGAUGGUGCAGAAGAGAUGUCAGACCCUGUGAUGACUGAGGUUUUGCCUCUCUCCAGUUACUGGCUCCCUAGACAUUAAAUAUCUGAAUUUAUUGAAGGGUUUAUCACUUUUGUACUUUCCAGGUUACCUUACACAUUUCUUUUCAUCUCUGUUCACUGAAUUCAGCAUUUUUGGAGAUGCUAAUGAAAUAUAAACAUUUUACCAUGGGUGUUGGCUUCCUUCAGACGUGAAAGACCCAUCAUUAACUCUUCUACUUUGUCCUGUCCCAAGAAAAUUCUGUGAAGUUGUCACCACCAAGUAAUCAAGAAAGUUUCAGAUAAAAAUGGGUACAUGAUUCACCUUUUUCACUAAUUUCAGGAGUGGUUUAGUUUUCUAAGGGCUGAGCAUUGUUUCUCACUCUACUUGGCAAGUUAUGUGCACCAUACCGACCAGUAACGAGGGGUUUGUUGUCUUUCAGAAUAGAGGGUAUUUACAUGGAAAAAAUCUUGCUGGCUUUUGUUCAUGUCAGUGUUUUCUAGGAAUACAGCUCUGCAAUUUGACCAUCUUUUCUUCUAACUGUAUUGUAAUGCUUUCCAGUUCUGUUCCAGUGUGUAAAUAAGUGUCUCCAAAGUAAAUAAAUAAAUUGUGAUAUUUUAAUCCCACCAAAUUAAUUUCUUUCAGCUGCUGGCUAUUACUUUCCUUCUCUGUGUGUGUUGAUUUGUAAUGAGGAGUUGGGGUUACUGAUUUUUGCCUGGACCCAAUCACCUCCGUGUUUUGUGAGUUGUCAUAAAACUGACCACUGUUGUACGAGCAAAUGGUGUCAUUCCUUUGCCAUGAUGAAUUCUAACUUCAACCACCCAGCAGCAGGUGAGCAGCUGAGGGAAGCAGCAUGUUUGGCCAGCGAAGGAAUUCCAGGAUUUUCUGUAUUGCUCUAAGGCUCCCUGUGGAUUGCAGAUUCUCAACUGGAAAGUAAAGGCAAGAUGCUCAAGAAGAUGGUUUUUGACCGUCAAGGAAAACACCGCUUCCUGGGAGCUCCCUCUCUGAAGUUUGCAGCACUGCAGCAGGUUUUAUCACUCUCUCUUUGUUCUGGCAGUGCUCUUAGCUGUGAAAUACCACUGGUACUGCUGUCAUAGCAAAGAUUUGAGUUGUUCCUUGUGACGGCAGGAUGAAAACCUGCUGAAGACCUGUGGCCCAGAUGGCACUGUGUAUCUUUGUAAGGCUUGUGCGUGAGCUUUUGCUGUGAGAGAUAACAAGUUUCCUUCACAAGAACACAUCAUUUUUCCUAGCAUUUAUCUGAAGGCUUCCUCUAGAGAGAGGAAGGUAAAUACUGACCUACUUCACAAAUUGAAGCUCUUGGAUUUGGUCACUUUUAUUCCCAAAAGUGGUUCUUUUUUGUUACGCUUGCUCCCUCAACAGGCUCCUUGCCUUUUGAACGCUGUCUUUCUCUCACUGUCUGAUCCUAGGAUGACAAUACAGAGUUUUCAAGUUGUCUUAUUUGCAUUACAAAAUUAUCUCCUGUAAUCAGUCACUGAGUCUGGCUAAGCACACCCAGGACUGCCUCUCACAACCAAACAAGCGAUGUAAGCCUGAUAGACAAAGGGGAAAACACACUGAGCUGAUCCAGGGGGGAUGUGAAGCUUCCUGCUGUCAGUCAGAGUGGUAACAGCUUGUUUAAAAAGGCAGUGGGUGGAUGUUGACCAUCACUAAUUUUAGAUAACUAGGAUCUGGUGUCAGGAGAAGUGGGGUUUAAUUUUGCAGGCAGCAUGUGAGAGCAACACGCAGCGGGAAUGGAAGAAGGGCACAGGUGAAAGGAAUUUAGGGAUUAGACUAGUUUAUAGCUGCCCUUCUCCACUAGAGUCAAUAACCACAGGGUUAUUCUCUGAAAGAGUAACUCCAUGUUUGCUCUCCACCCUCCGAGUUAAAUAUUGGUUAAUGAAAACUAGCACUGCUCCUGCUGCUCCAGUUUUAAAAAUAUGCUCUGUCUUUCCAAAAAUAGAGAUUGAAUUGAGAAUUGAAAUGUCUGGCCCAGGGCUUGGUCCCAGCAAAUAAAUUGCUUACACUGAGUUUUCCAGCACUGACUUAAGUCUGUCUACGUUGAAGUCUACUGCAAAACUCCCCUCUCUGAGCCCAGGCAGCAUAUGUUCAACAUCCCACCCGAGUCUUGUUUAAGAGGAAAGGGUAUCCCUGCUUCCAUUCUGUUCCCACUGAGGGGAACAGUGUAAGUGUGGAGAGCUGGGGUAGCACAGAAGCUGGUGGGUGUGUCAGUGCAAAUGCAUACAAUUGGUAUUUGCAGUUUACUCCAGAAUAGCGACAUAUGUAUGGGGAUGUCCUCUUAUUCAAAAGCAGAUGACAAACAACUGUUUAUGUGUUUUAAUCAACUAAUAAAUUAUGUGCUUACUCACCUACAGGUUGAUUAAAUGGUGAGGUUUUCUACAAAGAAUAAACACGGUCCAGAAAGGAAAGUUGGGAGAAGAGGAAAUGCAGUUUACAAAAUUGUCCACUCUCUGUUAUACUGACCUCCUAAAACUCAGUGGCCCUUGCACUACUGCAGCCAGCCCCACUGCACUGCUGCUGGGCUGAGCCCUGCCUUUUCAUAGUCAUAGAAUGGUUUGGGUUGGAAUGGGCCAUAAAGACAAUUUAGUUCCAACCCCCUGCCGUGGGCAGGGACACUUUCCGCUAGAGCAGGUUGAUCCAAGCCCUGUUCAACCUGGCCUUGAACACUGCCAGGGCUGAGGCAGUCACAGCUUCUCUGGGCAGCCUGUGCCUGUGUCUCACCAGCCUCACAGGGAAGAAUUCCUUCCUAAUACCUAAUCUGAAUCUCACCUCUUUCAGUUUAAAAUCAUUCCUCCUCAUCCUAUCCCUAAAGCCCUAACAAAAAGUCCCUCUCUAGAUUUCUCGUGCUCCUAUAAACCAGUUGUGUAUUCAAGCCCACAAUGUGCACUGCUUAGCAAGAAUUUGCACCAUCUUCUAUUCCUGCUCAUCUGUCACCGGAUGCCAUUUUUCUGUGUCCCCUAAAAUUUUAUAGGUGGCUCUAAAAGUAUUUGCUUGUGUGGAGGUACGAGUUGUUCUGAAUGGCAUUAACACAAAGCAUCUCGCUGUCUUUUCAGCCCUAUGCCACAUUUACUUUUCUGGAAAAGGGCUGAAAUAAAGUGACUUUGAGACCAUAAUAUCAAAGUGUGGGAGACUCUGGAUUUUGUUUCUAAUUUCUGCCCUGUGUUUUAAUUCUUUUUAAGUCACAAGUGCUCUCAAACCAUAGUAUCUGGCUAUUUUACACUGUGACCAAACUUUGAUUAAAGCAGUUUUGAUACCUUUGGCUUCAUUUUCAAACUGUGACUAAAAAGACAACUACAGGCUAUUGAAUUGCAGCAGUAGAGACUGUGGACUAAAAUGUAUGUGCUAUAUAUAUAUUGUGCACUUUGGGGUCAUUUUUAUGAACUAUUUAAAUACCAGUCAUUAAACUUUUAUACUGCAGAGCUGAGUAGCUACUUGACUUAAAUACUCAAUAACACAAGUGUUUUUAUUAGUCUUGCAGCUACUGGGUUGUGAACUGUAGUUACUGUACAAUCUUCCAGCUAUGCUCUUGUUUUCAGUAACUAUAUUUAGAAGUUUGAACCAUAUAAAAUGUUAAUACCAGACUUAUAGGAAAUAAAUGUCUGUAUAAGC